rnacentral:lncRNA from 1 species
AGCACAAGACAUCCUGACCUUCAAGGGAGGGAGGAACACCUUGAGAGGAGUUGAGAUCCUGCUUUCUCUUCAGAAUGCCAUCUCUAGGAUGCCAAUGGGCUGUGUCUACAGUACUAUGUAGGAAAGUGCUGCAAGAGUGACUCUGGAAGGUUGUGCUGAGAACUCUGAAGGCUUGCUGUGACUUUUUGGAGAGCCCAUUUUGCCUAAACAAGAACCACGAUUAUGUAAAGUUCUUUCUGUCACCUCUCUGAAGACCUGGUUCAUAUCUGCAGCUGCAACUCUAUCCCUGAACUCAUCUUUGAAACUACCCAGAGAUAGACUGUCAAGAGCUUCAGAGCUUUACAACAGGAUCUUCCAAGUGCCCUGAGAGGUCAUGAUGGAGCCAAUAGAAAUAAAUCAUACAAAACAAAGCCAGAACCUGGUGGGAGGGAUGCUUACAAAACAACAUAAACGAGAAGUUGUCUGAAAAAAAAUUGUAUGGAAGGAAGAAGAGAUGAGAUAAGGGAAAUGAACUCAUAAUAGCCCCAGUUAAAAUACUUACAGUAAAAUAUCAUUAGUACUACUUGAUGUUGGUGAAAGGCUCUAGACUCAAGUCAGAAGGCCCAAUUUGUUGCUGUGAUUUCUUGAACAAAUUAUGUAAUUGUGUUGAGAUUCAGUUUUCUUUUCUAUCAUUGGGUAUUAAUAACUUCUAUGUGAUGUCAGAGUUAUGAUGUGAAGUUAAAAUAACUAAUAAAUGGGUAAACCCUGAAAAUUUGAUAGAAUUUUGUGAAUGAGAGAAUCUUACAAAUACAGUACCUGAAACCAAAAGAAUUAAGUCUCAGCUUGAGGAAUAUCAGAUACUAGGGCAGGCUAAUGGGAUAAAGGUCUCAUUGAUCUGCCACCUUCAGUCACACUGAAAUGGGGCUAUAUUUUUUUUAUUUACUUACCUACCAGUACUGCCAAUAGUCAAAAUAGUACUACUUUCCAAGUUAUUUAACUUUUUUAGUAUAACAGAAAAAAAAA